GACGAACGCUGGCGGCGUGCUUAACACAUGCAAGUCGAACGGAAAGGCCCUGCUUUUGUGGGGUGCUCGAGUGGCGAACGGGUGAGUAACACGUGAGUAACCUGCCCUUGACUUUGGGAUAACUUCAGGAAACUGGGGCUAAUACCGGAUAGGAGCUCCUGCUGCAUGGUGGGGGUUGGAAAGUUUCGGCGGUUGGGGAUGGACUCGCGGCUUAUCAGCUUGUUGGUGGGUAGUGGCUUACCAAGGCUUUGACGGGUAGCCGGCCUGAGAGGGUGACCGGCCACAUUGGGACUGAGAUACGGCCCAGACUCCUACGGGAGGCAGCAGUGGGGAAUAUUGCACAAUGGGCGGAAGCCUGAUGCAGCAACGCCGCGUGCGGGAUGACGGCCUUCGGGUUGUAAACCGCUUUCGCCUGUGACGAGGCGUGAGUGACGGUAAUGGGUAAAGAAGCACCGGCUAACUACGUG
rnacentral:rRNA from 1 species